UCUGGGAAACUGCCUGAUGGAGGGGGAUAACUACUGGAAACGGUGGCUAAUACCGCAUAACGUCGCAAGACCAAAGAGGGGGACCUUCGGGCCUCUUGCCAUCAGAUGUGCCCAGAUGGGAUUAGCUAGUUGGUGAGGUAACGGCUCACCAAGGCGACGAUCCCUAGCUGGUCUGAGAGGAUGACCAGCCACACUGGAACUGAGACACGGUCCAGACUCCUACGGGAGGCAGCAGUGGGGAAUAUUGCACAAUGG
rnacentral:rRNA from 13 species